rnacentral:rRNA from 1 species
GACGAACGCUGGCGGCGUGCUUAACACAUGCAAGUCGGACGGUAAGGCUCCAGCUUGCUGGGGUACGCGAGUGGCGAACGGGUGAGUAACACGUGGGUGACCUGCCCUGCACUUCGGGAUAAGCCUGGGAAACUGGGUCUAAUACCGGAUAGGACCAUGGUGUGGAUACUGUGGUGGAAAGUUUUUUCGGUGUGGGAUGGGCCCGCGGCCUAUCAGCUUGUUGGUGGGGUAAUGGCCUACCAAGGCGGCGACGGGUAGCCGGCCUGAGAGGGUGGACGGCCACAUUGGGACUGAGACACGGCCCAGACUCCUACGGGAGGCAGCAGUGGGGAAUAUUGCACAAUGGGCGGAAGCCUGAUGCAGCGACGCCGCGUGGGGGAUGACGGCCUUCGGGUUGUAAACUCCUUUCACCAUCGACGAAGGGUUUCUGACGGUAGAUGGAGAAGAAGCACCGGCUAACUACGUG